GCUUGGCUGGCGCAAUGGACAGCGCGUUGGACUUCUAAUCCAAAGGUUCUGGGUUCAAGUCCCAGGUCAGGUG
rfam:Guillardia theta CCMP2712 unplaced genomic scaffold GTITHscaffold_27, whole genome shotgun sequence.